AGUUUCAGGUGAUUCAACAUUUAUAUAUUGUGAAGGGAUUGCCACAAUAAGUUGUGGUCAUCUAUCACCAUAUGAAGGUUUAGCUGUCAUAUUGGAGGCUGCCAGUAGGUGGCAAUGUAAUUUAUGAAGACAUUAGAAGAAAGAAAGCUGUGUGAAGGAAAACGUCUCUUAAAAAAACAAUGCAAUUUAUUAUUGGUCACGGAACCAAGUCCAAACUAGGAAAAAGAACACAAGUAACACUCUAAAUACCAAGAUAUCAGAUUAUACACAGCUCCAUCUAAGUUUUCAGUGUUC